rnacentral:tRNA from 1 species
AAAACUUUAAGUUAAUGUUAAACUAAUAGCCUUCAAAGCUAUAAAUAAAAGACACUCUUUUAAGUUUUA